GUGUGCUCUUUUUCAGUAACCAUAAUGUGACUUGAGGAAAAGAGCUGACUUGGACAAAGUAAUCAGCAGAUACUCUGGAUGGUGACUUAGGCAGGGAAAGACCAUGAUAUUAUUAGAGAAUACUGUAUGAGUCAGGAAGUAAAUUAGUAUACUCCCACCACUUUUUGAUAAUGAUUGAAUUCCUAUUCUCCAUUUACAAUCAACUUAAUGAUCGAUUCCUAGUGCUGAUUUCUAGGCCCACUCCCACAUUCACCCCUUCCUUUGAAUUAAGUAUUGUUAUUGCUUUUACUAUUAUAGCUUAUAGGUAUUUAAAACCAUGAAGAAUGGACUUGGAACAUACACUUAACAUCAUCCUGUUUUUUCCUUUCACAAAUGAUCACAGCCCUAUACAGCUGCUUUAUUUACUUGACUCGUAUUACCAACAACCCCCCCCCCCCCCAAUAUUCCUCUAUUUCUGGAAAAUUAUUAGAUAGUUAAUCAAAUAUACUGUACUACAUAUGUAAUGUUGAACUGAAAACAAAUGCAGUUGAAAGAGGUUAGGGAAUUGUCUAAACAAUCUUGAGGAAUAACACUAUGUAACCAAGUGUCACUGGCUACAGAUCAACUUAACCACUUUUUUUUGGGGGGGGGGGGGAGAUCCAGAAUGGGAUAUGGAGCCAAUUUGGAAGUCAGUUGUGGAACAUCAUCAUAUGAAAGACAUUGCUACCCUGUUGUUGUCCACACUGAAAAAAAAUUGUUUUGAAAGAAAAGAAAUCUGAAGAGGAGAUAAAUGUUUUGAGGGCACAGCUGCUUGAAUGUGUCAAUGUGUUUGUGUGACAGCUCUUUGGUUCUCUUCUGGAAUGCCUCAAAUCAUCACUGAAAAAAGACAUUCCUUUUCUGGAGGCAAAAAUUGCAAGGUGGCUGAGCUAUUGACACUGAAUCAUUGUGACAAGGGACAAGAAGAAAAAGUCAACCUGUUUUGAAUGGAUGCUAAUGAAUGAGCUCCUCUGUGCUUCAUUUAGAUGGGAUGUGUCAUGGCAACCACUCUCUCAUGUCAAAAAGGUCAUUUGCUGAAGUCACUGGGAGCUAUUUGCCUUGCUGUCCUGCAAGAUUUUUUCUUUUCUUUUCUUUUCUUUUCUUUUCUUUUCUUUUCUUUUCUUUUCUUUUAGGAUACAAUGAAAUCAAGACCUAAUCUGGCCUUCCACAGUUUGUUUAAUAAUCAGUAUAUCAUCACUAUCUAAUGAAAUUUUGGACACAGAAGGUGAAGAAAUUAAUUAUGAGCUAAUGUGAUAUAUCUGCAGUUGGCGUACAUUAGCUCCUAUCAGCAGAUUCCAAAGUGACAUUUUUUCCCUUCAUGCCAAGAUUUCCGGUGAUGAAGAAGCGCCUGAUAGUACUGGUGCAUACAUCUGGGAAACAGAAGAGGACCUGAAGGCAGUAAUAACUCUCCAAAGGGCCCGGGCUGUGGCGCAGGUGGGAGAGCAAGCCAGUGCAAUUAACUGCAAUGAAUCACUCUGACCAGGAGGUCAUGAGUUCGAGCCCCGCUCGGAGCCUAUGUUUGUUUGUCUUUGCUCUAUGUUAAAAGGCAUUAAAUGUUUGCCUAUAUGUGUAAUGUGAUCCGCCCUGAGUCCCCUUCAGGGUGAGAAGGGCGGAAUAUAAAUGCUGUAAAUAAAUAAAUAAAUAAAUAAAUAAAUAAAGUUCACCAAACAGUGAAUCCACUGGAGCAGGGGAAGUACCAACUACCUAAACUUUGCAAGUGAGAUGUGUCAUUCUUACUGAGUCCUAAGAGACAAUGAGAGGGGGGGGGGCAUUUCACAGCUGGUGAAAGGAAUUGUUAUGUAACUUGUUUGCUGUGGCAGUAGGAGAAAUCUAUUCCAUGAGCUAUACUAUUGGCAAGGAAUGAUAAUCACUGAUAUAUAUUGUUGGCUCAGACAGAUGGGAUAGUCUUUCUUUUUCUGACUUUACUACUUGUUAAAUUCCACAUAUUAAAUAUGUUUGACUUUG